rnacentral:rRNA from 1 species
UACGAGAGGCCCAAACGUUUAUUCGGAUUUACUGGGCUUAAAGAGUUCGUAGGCGGCGCGGAAAGUAGGGUGUGAAAGCCCUCGGCUCAACCGAGGAAUUGCGCUCUAAACUGUCGCGCUCGAGGAACCUAGAGGUGAGCAGAACUGAUGGUGGAGCGGUGAAAUGCGUUGAUAUCAUCAGGAAUACCGGAGGCGAAGGCGGCUCACUGGGGGGUUAUCUGACGCUGAGGAACGAAAGCCAGGGGAGCAAACGGG